GCUUGACGGUACUGUAAGAAUAAGGAUCGGCUAACUCCGUGCCAGCAGCCGCGGUAAUACGGAGGAUCCAAGCGUUAUCCGGAAUCAUUGGGUUUAAAGGGUCCGCAGGCGGUUUUUUAAGUCAGAGGUGAAAUCCUGCAGCUCAACUGUAGAAUUGCCUUUGAUACUGAAAGACUUGAGUUAUUGUGAAGUGGUUAGAAUGUGUGGUGUAGCGGUGAAAUGCAUAGAUAUCACACAGAAUACCAAUUGCGAAGGCAGAUCACUAACAAUAUACUGACGCUCAGGGACGAAAGCGUGGGUAGCGAACAGGAUUAGAUACCCUGGUAGUCCACGCCGUAAACGAUGGAUACUAGCUGUAUGUCUACCUCAGGUAGAUGUGUGGCCAAGCGAAAGUGAUAAGUAUCCCACCUGGGGAGUACGAUC
rnacentral:rRNA from 1 species